rnacentral:rRNA from 1 species
UACGUAGGGUGCAAGCGUUGUCCGGAAUUAUUGGGCGUAAAGAGCUCGUAGGCGGUCUGUCGCGUCUGCUGUGAAAACUGGAGGCUCAACCUCCAGCCUGCAGUGGGUACGGGCAGACUAGAGUGCGGUAGGGGAGACUGGAAUUCCUGGUGUAGCGGUGAAAUGCGCAGAUAUCAGGAGGAACACCGGUGGCGAAGGCGGGUCUCUGGGCCGAUACUGACGCUGGAGGAAGCGAAAGCGUGGGGAGCAAACAGG